rnacentral:rRNA from 1 species
GGACCUGAGUACAGUGGCGCACGGGUGAGUAACGCGUAGACAACCUACCCCCAGGUGGGGAAUAACUACGGGAAACCGUAGCUAAUACCGCAUAAUGUCAGAUGGCCGCAUGGCCGACUGAUCAAAGCUUUAUGCGCCCGGGGAUGGGUCUGCGUUGGAUUAGCUAGUUGGUGAGGUAAUAGCUCACCAAGGCAACGAUCCAUAGCGGGUCUGAGAGGAUGAUCCGCCACACUGGCACUGAGACACGGGCCAGACUCCUACGGGAGGCAGCAGUGAGGAAUAUUGCGCAAUGGAGGCAACUCUGACGCAGCCACGCCGCGUGCAGGAAGACACCCCUCAGGGGCGUAAACUGCUUUUAUACGGGAAGAAUGCCCUGGGUACCAGGGAGUGACGGUACCGUAUGAAUAAGGACCGGCUAACUCCGUGCCAGCAGCCGCGGUAAUACGGAGGGUCCAAGCGUUGUCCGGAAUCACUGGGUGUAAAGGGUGCGCAGGCGGGCUUGUAAGUCAGGGGUGAAAGCCACCGGCCUAACCGGUGAACUGCCCUUGAUACUGCAAGUCUUGAAUCUCGGAGAGGCUAUCGGAAUUCGUGGUGUAGCGGUGAAAUGCGUAAAUAUCACGAGGAACACCAGAUGCGUAGGCGGAUAGCUG